UACGGAGGGUGCGAGCGUUGUCCGGAAUCAUUGGGCGUAAAGGGCGCGUAGGUGGCCCGGUCAGUCUUUGGUGAAAGCGCGGGGCUCAACUCCGCGUCGGCCAUGAAUACUGCUGGGCUGGAGCACUGUAGAGGCAGGCGGAAUUCCGGGUGUAGCGGUGGAAUGCGUAGAGAUCCGGAAGAACACCGGUGGCGAAGGCGGCCUGCUGGGCAGUGGCUGACACUGAGGCGCGACAGCCAGGGGAGCAAACGGG
rnacentral:rRNA from 1 species